CAGAAUCAGCCCCUCGGGGCGCAUUCACAACCGUGUAUACUACCUUUGUUGCUUUGGCAGGCCGCCUUGCGGCGCCGGCUCCGGCUGGCUGCGCCUGCCAGAGGCCCCAACUCGUUAUUUGUGUUGUCCGAGUACUAUAUAAUAUUUUA
rnacentral:misc_RNA from 1 species